rnacentral:rRNA from 1 species
UACCGGAUAACAACACUAGACGCAUGUCUAGAGUUUGAAAGAUGGUUCUGCUAUCACUCUUGGAUGGACCUGCGGUGCAUUAGCUAGUUGGUAAGGUAACGGCUUACCAAGGCAAUGAUGCAUAGCCGAGUUGAGAGACUGAUCGGCCACAUUGGGACUGAGACACGGCCCAAACUCCUACGGGAGGCAGCAGUAGGGAAUCUUCCACAAUGGACGAAAGUCUGAUGGAGCAACGCCGCGUGAGUGAAGAAGGGUUUCGGCUCGUAAAGCUCUGUUGGUAGUGAAGAAAGAUAGAGGUAGUAACUGGCCUUUAUUUGAUGGUAAUUACUUAGAAAGUCACGGCUAACUACGUGCCAGCAGCCGCGGUAAUACGUAGGUGGCAAGCGUUGUCCGGAUUUAUUGGGCGUAAAGCGAGUGCAGGCGGUUCAAUAAGUCUGAUGUGAAAGCCUUCGGCUCAACCGGAGAAUUGCAUCAGAAACUGUUGAACUUGAGUGCAGAAGAGGAGAGUGGAACUCCAUGUGUAGCGGUGGAAUGCGUAGAUAUAUGGAAGAACACCAGUGGCGAAGGCGGCUCUCUGGUCUGCAACUGACGCUGAGGCUCGAAAGCAUGGGUAGCGAACAGGAUUAGAUACCCUGGUAGUCCAUGCCGUAAACGAU